rnacentral:rRNA from 1 species
UACGUAGGGUGCAAGCGUUGUCCGGAAUUAUUGGGCGUAAAGAGUUCGUAGGCGGUUUGUCGCGUCCGUUGUGAAAGCUUGGGGCUCUACCCCAGGUCUGCAGUGGAUACGGGCAGGCUAGAGUCAGGUAGGGGAGAACGGAAUUCCUGGUGUAGCGGUGAAAUGCGCAGAUAUCAGGAAGAACACCCGUGGCGAAGGCGGCUCUCUGGGACGUGACUGACGCUGAGACGCGAAAGCGUGGGGAGCGAACAGG